GUCAGAUAGUUCAGUUGGUUAGAGUGUAGUGCUGGUAAUGGCAAGGUUGCAGGUUUGAUCCCUGUAAGGGGCA